rnacentral:lncRNA from 1 species
UCUUUCUACGGCACCACUCUGAACUUGAGACAAAGGAAUACUCAUAUGAACCAAUCAGAACAGUGGUUCCCUAACUUGGAAUCCUGAAUGCUUGUUAAGAAUCAACACUCUCAGCCCCCUCCAGACUUGACACACAUAUUUGUGAAGAACCCUGAGGUUCUCAGCAGCUUUCCUCAUAGGCACAUGGACAUUUCAUGGGACCCUGGAAAGAUCACACAGUGAGGAAGACAAUCAUUCUCAUCCGGCCUGUGCACCUGCUGCAGUACGGUCACCUGGUCUGGCUCCAUCGAAGCAGAAGGAAAGGAAGAUUUCACUCUGAGAGGGAACAUAAGAGUCCGGGUGUCGUGUGAGCUGAAGCGUGGGGACCACAGCUUGAUAUUAGUCUUUCCAUUAUUUUGAGUUUCUACAAGUGCUUCCUAUAAAAUUUAUCUGUUUUGAAGCCAGAGGGAUUAAUAGUUUCUCAAUGAUAAAAGGCUAUCUUGUGAAGACAACAAUGCGUAUAUUAUUUGAAGUUAUUAUAUGCCAUUUGAUAGUGGUUCUUUUUUGACUCCUGUAUAAACCUUUUGGAGGAGAGAUCUCAAAGAUACAUAUAUAUAUAUAAAUCAUAUAUAUAUAUAAGUAUAUAUCUUUUGCAUAUACAUAAGUAUAUAUAUUAUUGCAAAUCCUGUUAAAAAUGUUUC